AGUGAACGCUGGCGGUAGGCCUAACACAUGCAAGUCGAACGGCAGCACAGUAAGAGCUUGCUCUUACGGGUGGCGAGUGGCGGACGGGUGAGGAAUACAUCAGAAUCUACUUUUUCGUGGGGGAUAACGUAGGGAAACUUACGCUACUACCGCAUACGACCUACGGGUGAAAGCAGGAGAUCUUCGGACCUUUCGCGUCUGAAUUAGCCGAUGUCGGAUUAGCUAGUUGGCGGGGUAAAGGCCCACCAAGGCGACGAUCCGUAGCUGGUCUGAGAGGAUGAUCAGCCACACUGGAACUGAGACACGGUCCAGACUCCUACGGGAGGCAGCAGUGGGGAAUAUUGGACAAUGGGCGCAAGCCUGAUCCAGCCAUACCGCGUGGGUGAAGAAGGCCUUCGGGUUGUAAAGCCCUUUUGUUGGGAAAGAAAAGCAGCAGGUUAAUACCCCGCUGUUCUGACGGUACCCAAAGAAUAAGCACCGGCUAACUUCGUG
rnacentral:rRNA from 1 species